rnacentral:rRNA from 1 species
CAGCCGCCGCGGUAAUACAGAGGGUGCGAGCGUUAAUCGGAUUUACUGGGCGUAAAGCGUGCGUAGGCGGCUUCUUAAGUCGGAUGUGAAAUCCCUGAGCUUAACUUAGGAAUUGCAUUCGAUACUGGGAAGCUAGAGUAUGGGAGAGGAUGGUAGAAUUCCAGGUGUAGCGGUGAAAUGCGUAGAGAUCUGGAGGAAUACCGAUGGCGAAGGCAGCCAUCUGGCCUAAUACUGACGCUGAGGUACGAAAGCGUGGGGAGCAAACAGGAUUAGAUACCCGAGUAGUCCCUGUCUCUUAUAA